GCCCCCUUAACUCAAUGGAUAGAGUACAGGCCUCCGAAGCCUGGAAUAGAGGUUCGAGCCCUCUAGGGGGUA
rnacentral:tRNA from 1 species